GUCGUGAGAUGUUGGGUUAAGUCCCGCAACGAGCGCAACCCUCGUUCUAUGUUGCCAGCACAUAAUGGUGGGGACUCAUAGGAGACUGCCGGGGUCAACUCGGAGGAAGGUGGGGAUGACGUCAAGUCAUCAUGCCCCUUAUGUCCAGGGCUGCACACAUGCUACAAUGGCCGGUACAAAGGGCUGCGAUACCGCGAGGUGGAGCGAAUCCCAUAAAGCCGGCCUCAGUUCGGACUGGGGUCUGCAACUCGACCCCAUGAAGUCGGAGUCGCUAGUAAUCGCAGAUCAGCAACGCUGCGGUGAAUACGUUCCCGGGCCUUGUACACACCGCCCGUCACGUCACGAAAGUCGGUAACACCCGAAGCCAGUGGCCCAACCGCAAGGAGGGAGCUGUCGAAGGUGGGAUCGGCGAUCGGGACGAAGUCGUAACAAGGUAGCCGUACCGGAAGGUGCGGCUGGAUCACCUCCUUUCUAAGGAGCAUCUGGUCCAGGCCUCGGUCUGGAUCCAGGCGCCCGAUCAUGAGCGAACGUCUCAUGCAGGUAGCUCAAGGGUGGAACACUAACUAGUUCGCUGAAGCGGGCUCGGCAUCGUCAGUACAGAAGUAGCUUGCUACUUCAGGAACCUCGAUGAACCGGGUCCGUAUUUUUGCGUAGGCACGCUGUUGAGUCCUGAGGGAGUGGAAACACCCUUCAGGCCGGCCGGAGUUCGCUCCGGUCUGCCAACGUCCGGCUCUGUCGGUCACCGAACGACGAACGUCUCCUCCUCGCGAGGUCGCCACGUUCGCACGCGGUGAGUCACCGUCAGAGUCGCCCGUACCUUGAGAACUGCACAGUGGACGCGAGCAUCUAAAUCUUUGUAGCCAAGUUAAUAAGGGCGCACGGUGGAUGCCUUGGCACCAGGAGCCGAAGAAGGACGUAGGGGGCUGCGAUAAGCCACGGGGAGCUGCCGACCGAGCAUUGAUCCGAGGAUUU
rnacentral:sRNA from 1 species